CAUUAAGAAGCUUUAGGACCAAGCGACAGCCUUUUAAGCUGUAGACAGGUGACUUCCAACCACCCUUAGUGA
rnacentral:tRNA from 1 species